rnacentral:tRNA from 1 species
GGAUGUGGCUCAGUGGUAGAGUGCUUGCUUAGCAUGCUUGAGGCACUGGGUUUGAUCCCUGGCACCA